AACUUUCAACAACGGAUCUCUUGGCUCUCGCAUCGAUGAAGAACGCAGCGAAAUGCGAUAAGUAAUGUGAAUUGCAGAAUUCAGUGAAUCAUCGAAUCUUUGAACGCACCUUGCGCCCCUUGGUUUUCCGAGGGGCAUGCCUGUUUGAGUGUCA
rnacentral:rRNA from 1 species